GAUGAACGCUGGCGGCGUGCCUAAUACAUGCAAGUCGAGCGAACGGACGAGAAGCUUGCUUCUCUGAUGUUAGCGGCGGACGGGUGAGUAACACGUGGAUAACCUACCUAUAAGACUGGGAUAACUUCGGGAAACCGGAGCUAAUACCGGAUAAUAUUUUGAACCGCAUGGUUCAAAAGUGAAAGACGGUCUUGCUGUCACUUAUAGAUGGAUCCGCGCUGCAUUAGCUAGUUGGUAAGGUAACGGCUUACCAAGGCAACGAUGCAUAGCCGACCUGAGAGGGGGUGCGGCCCCACUGGGACUGUGACCCGGUUCCGACCCCUUCGGGGGGGCCGCGGUGGGAAUCUUCCCGAAAGGGGCGAAACCCUACGGGAGCACCCCCCGGGGGUGAAUAAGGGCUUUCGGUCCUAAAACCCUUUUUUUUGGGAAAAAAAAAUUGUGAAAGUACUUGUCAACUUUUUAGCGGUCCCAAAACAAAAACCCCCGCUAACCUCCUG
rnacentral:rRNA from 1 species